rnacentral:rRNA from 1 species
UACGUAUGGAGCAAGCGUUAUCCGGAUUUACUGGGCGUAAAGGGAGCGUAGGCGGCCUGCCAAGUCUGAUGUGAAAUACCGGGGCCCAACCCCGGGACCGCUCUGGAAACUGCCCGGCUGGAGUGCGGGAGAGGUAAGCGGAAUUCCUAGUGUAGCGGUGAAAUGCGUAGAUAUUAGGAGGAACACCAGCGGCGAAGGCGGCUUACUGGACAGUAACUGACGUUGAGGCUCGAAAGCGUGGGGAGCAAACAGG